GAGUUUGAUCGUGGCUCAGAGUGAACGCUGGCGGUAGGCCUAACACAUGCAAGUCGAACGGUAACAGGUCUUUCGGGAUGCUGACGAGUGGCGGACGGGUGAGGAAUACAUCGGAAUCUGCUCAGUCGUGGGGGAUAACGCAUGGAAACGUGCGCUAAUACCGCAUACGACCUUCGGGUGAAAGCAGGGGAAUCUCUCGGGAUCCUUGCGCGAUUGAAUGAGCCGAUGUCGGAUUAGCUAGUUGGUAGGGUAAAAGCCUACCAAGGCCACGAUCCGUAGCUGGUCUGAGAGGAUGAUCAGCCACACUGGGACUGAGACACGGCCCAGACUCCUGCGGGAGGCAGCAGUGGGGAAUAUUGGACAAUGGGGGCAACCCUGAUCCAGCCAUACCGCGUGGGUGAAGAAGGCCUUCUGGGUUGUAAAGCCCUUUUGUUGGGGAAGAAAAACAACGGGUUAAUACCCCGUUGGUAUGACGGUACCCAAAGAAUAAGCACCGGCUAACUUCGUGCCAGCAGCCGCGGUAAUACGAAGGGUGCAAGCGUUACUCGGAAUUACUGGGCGUAAAGGGUGCGUAGGUGGUUGCGCCAGUCUGUCGUGAAAGCCCUGGGCUUAACCUGGGAAUGGCGAUGGAAACUGUGCAACUAGAGUGUGACAGAGGGUGGUGGAAUUCCUGGUGUAGCAGUGAAAUGCGUAGAGAUCAGGAGGAACAUUCGUGGCGAAGGCGGCCACCUGGGUCAACACUGACACUGAGGCACGAAAGCGUGGGGAGCAAACAGGAUUAGAUACCCUGGUAGUCCACGCCCUAAACGAUGCGAACUGGAUGUUGGGUCCAACUUGGGAUUCAGUAUCGAAGCUAACGCGUUAAGUUCGCCGCCUGGGGAGUACGGUCGCAAGACUGAAACUCAAAGGAAUUGACGGGGGCCCGCACAAGCGGUGGAGUAUGUGGUUUAAUUCGAUGCAACGCGCAGAACUCUUACCUGGCCUUGACAUGCACGGA
rnacentral:rRNA from 1 species